rnacentral:lncRNA from 1 species
UAUGAUUAGUAUUUAAGCAUGAAUCCCCAUCUUACAAAGGAAAAAAUCAUAGUACAUUCACAUACCUUAUCAAGAACACAAGGAUGCCUACGAUCCACUCCCAUGGCUAAAUGUAAUAUGGGUUAAUGAAAACUCAGGAAAUGACUACAAAAAAAAGUUAUAUGCUCCUCCACUGAGAACGGUAGAGUGCAUGGAGGAUAAAUUUGCAAAGACAUGAUAAUAUUAUUCACUGUCACAAAAACACAUAAAAUGAAGCAACAACAAAAAGGAUAAUUUAUGAGUUUCACCCCGGCAUAGAUUCUUCAUUAAUACUUGCAGCACCUCAAUAAUAAAAAUUUAGGAGGUAAAAUAGAAGCUGAAGGCAUGAUCACAACCUGAAAUAGAUGACACAAUAAUCAAUAAAAAUAUUUAGUUUGAGGUUCAACACUUCAAUGAUGCAUUAACUGAAUAAAUGUUUCUGGAAGCAGACCAUACCUCAAGGUAAAGAUGAAUGUUCUGGUACUUGGAUUCAAGAAGCUGCAUACUUAAACUGGAAGCACUUCCAAAACUUCCUUCGGUGUCUUCUUUGUAUCAUUAUGUAGCAUGACUGUCUACUUUAUUAGCCUAACAGAACUGCUUAAGUUGGCUGAGUAACAUGCACAUAAAUAAAUCAGAAAAAGAAUAAGUAUUAUUAGGAGAUGAGCAAUAUGUCGUAAAAAGAAAAGAUAUAUAGCUCCUGAGAAGACGUCUCUUUUUUACUUCACUCCAAAUAG